UACGAAGGGUGCGAGCGUUGUUCGGAAUUACUGGGCGUAAAGGGUUCGUAGGCGGGAGCUUAAGUCAUGUGUGAAAUCCCCAGGCUCAACCUGGGACGUGCACGUGAAACUGAGCUUCUUGAAUCUUGGAGAGGGUGAUGGAAUUGCUGGUGUAGGAGUGACAUCCGUAGAGAUCAGCAGGAACACCGGAGGCGAAGGCGAUCACCUGGCCAAAGAUUGACGCUGAGGAACGAAAGCGUGGGGAGCAAACAGG
rnacentral:rRNA from 1 species